CCAAAAACCUAACCCAAAUAAUCUUUAUAUACCUAACUUUUUAUUUUAACAACUAAAACAUUCUACAGUUAUAGUAAAGGCGAUCGAAACAUCUUUUGGAGUAACAUUUUUAGUACCGCAAGGGAACAGUGAAAUAUAAAUGAAAUAACUUAUUAAGCAUCAAACAGUAGAGAUCUUACCUCGUACCUUUUGCAUCAUGAUUUAACUAGUAUAAUCAAGCAAAAAGCACUAAAGUUUGUCCCCCCGAAACUAAGCGAGCUACUUCAAGGCAAUUUCAAGAAUUAACCCGUCUCUGUUGCAAAAGAGUGGGAAGACCUUCAAGUAGAGGUGAUAGACCUAGCGAGCUUAGUGAUAGCUGGUUACUUAAGAAAAGGAUCUUAGUCCCACCCAACUUUUUCUCAAUCCCCCUAAAUAAGACCUAAAAUUUGGAGUAAUUCAAAUAAGGUACAGCCUAUUUGAAUCAGGAUACAACCUCAAUAAAUGGGUAAUUACACUCACAUAUAAUAAAGUAGGCUUAAAAGCAGCCAUCUUCAUAAAAGCGUCAAAGCUUAUUUGUAAAUUAACUCAAUCCCCCUAGUUAUUAAAAACCCUUAACUAAUAUUAAGUAAUUUUAUAAAAUUAUAAAACAUAUAAUGUUAAAACUAGUAACAAGAACUAGAACUUCUCUAUAAUGCAAGUGUAUGUCAGAUUGGACAAACCGCUGACUCUUAACAUCUUGAAAUCAAAGUAACAACUUAUCAAGAAAAUUUUACCAAACACAGUGUUAAUCUAACACAAGAGCAUUUUCAGACAGAUUAAAAGGAAAAGAAGGAACUCGGCAAAUAUUAACCUCGCCUGUUUACCAAAAACAUCGCCUCUUGACAAACAUAUAAGAGGUCUAGCCUGCCCAGUGACUCUGUUCAACGGCCGCGGUAUUCUAACCGUGCGAAGGUAGCGUAAUCACUUGUUCUUUAAAUAAGGACUAGUAUGAAUGGCACCACGAAGGUUAUACUGUCUCCUUUCCCUAAUCAGUGAAACUAAUCUCCCCGUGAAGAAGCGAGGAUAAAUAUAUAAGACGAGAAGACCCUAUGGAGCUUAAAACUUUCGGCAAUUAUCUUAUUUAUACCCACCCAAGGGGCAAUCAAAUUUACUUCAAUAUUAUGCCUGUUAGUUUUCGGUUGGGGUGACCACGGAGUAAAAUUCACCCUCCGCAAUGAAUAAAUUAUUUUAAGCAAUAAACUACAAUUUUAUGCAUCAAAAAAUUGACACUAUUGACCCAACACUUUGAUCAACGAACCAAGUUACCCUAGGGAUAACAGCGCAAUCCAUCUCAAGAGCUCAUAUCGACAGAUGGGUUUACGACCUCGAUGUUGGAUCAGGGUACCCCAGUGGUGCAGCCGCUACUAAAGGUUCGUUUGUUCAACGAUUAAAA
rnacentral:rRNA from 1 species